rnacentral:misc_RNA from 1 species
GACCCUGAGGAAACGAGGAUUUGAAUGGAUCUCGAGUCAACGUAAACCAUGAAGAAGUUCACCUUCAAAGGCGUCUUGGACGGGCUCAGGUCCUCCGUGUCCCAGCAGCCCCGAAACGACCAGGAGAUCGUCGAGACCCUCAGGCCGGAGAAUUUUCAAGUCGCCAAGACUUUUCGCCAUGGUUUUCCCAACCAACCAACUGCCGUGGCCUUCGAUCCGAUCCAGCGGCUCCUGGCGAUCGGGUCUAAAAACGGAUCCCUUAGAAUACUAGGAAGAUUCGGAGUCGAUUGUCAUGUUUUCCACGAAGGCGAGGUGGGCAUCAUACAGAUCGUUUUCCUUGUCAACGAAGGCGCCUUGAUAACAGCCACUACUGAUGACAGUGUUCACCUUUGGAAUUUCAGACAGAAAAGGCCGGACCUCGUCCAUAGUCUUCAAUUUCAAAGAGAAAGAAUAACGUGCAUACACCUCCCUCUUCACAGUAAAUGGCUGUACGUCGGCUCUGAAAGGGGCAAUAUUCACGUGGUAAAUAUUGAAUCUUUCCAGCUCUCCGGGUACGUCAUCAACUGGAACAAAGCGAUCGAAGUGUCACGCAAAACACACCCUGGAGCUGUUGUGCACUUAAGUGAUAACCCUUUAGAUUCGAGUAAGUUACUUAUUGCUUUUGAAAGUGGGCAGCUGGUCCUUUGGGAUCUUAGAAUGAAAGUAGCAGAAGCAAGAUGGCAAUCAAGCGAACCUCUAAAAUCUGUAAUAUGGCACCACGAUGGCAAACAGUUCAUGACCUCACACACAGACGGCACCUUACAGACCUGGAACAUUCGACAAUUUGGCAAACCUGUCAAUAUCCUGCAACCGCACGCAAAAAUUGGAAAGGAUGGUAAACCCGAAUCUUGCAAAGCGAUUCAAAAAGUAGAAUGGAAAGCUGCGAGAAGCGGAGAAACAUUUGUAAUAUUCUGUGGUGGCUUGACUUAUGACAAAGCCGGAAGGUCACCAAGCAUAACUAUUAUGCAUGGUAAAGCUACAACUGUGUUAGAAAUGGAGCACAAUGUUAUUGAUUUUAUUACAUUGUGUGAAAGCCCAUAUGCAAGUGAUAUUCCAGAGCCGUAUGCUAUAGUUGUCGUACUUCAGAAUGACCUUGUCGUCAUUGACCUCCUCAGUCCAGGCUUUCCGUGUUUUGAAAGUCCUCACCCAAUGGAUGUACACGAAUGUCCAGUGACUUGUUGCACAUAUCUUGCUGACUGUCCUUCAGAUCUGAUACCUGCUUUCUACUCCAUUGGGUCACGAUCUUCAAAACGGACGGGAUUUAGUGAUAAAGAAUGGCCACUUGCCGGAGGAGAAUGGACGACUCCACCUUGUAGUUAUAGUGAAAUAAUUAUUACUGGACAUGCGGAUGGGAGUAUAAAAUUUUGGGAUGCGUCGUGUGGUACUCUUCAGGUUUUGUACAAAGUAAAAACAAAUAAAGUAUUUGAAAGGCCGCAGAGCAAAUCACAAGAUGGUAACGAUGACGACCCUUUUGCCAUUCAACUCUUGUCGCUCUGUCCUGAAUCAAGAAAAUUGUGUAUCGCCGGUGCAGCUGGUUAUGUGAUUCUUUUCAAGUUUAAAAAACAAGAAUCGUCUUCUGAAACAGCGGUUUUGGACAUCCCGAUUGUCUACGAGGCCUUUGAUGAGCUAGAAUGUUCACCAGAAACUGAUUAUUCAAGGAGUAACCUAAACAAAAUUGACUCUGGGGAUAAUAAGAUUUUUGGAGCGGAUACAGGAACACCAAUAAAAGUAAAACCAGGCCUACAGAAAAAACCCCCAGGCUUUCAGGCUACAUUAGUCUGUAUUUCUCCAGCACCUAUAACAUCUCUGGGUAUCAACUCUUCAUACGGGCUGAUGGCUUAUGGAACAGAUACUGGAGCUGUAGUAGUGGACAUUGUGCAUAAAAUAUGUUUGUUGAAUGUUGCUACGCCAGACCUGUACGGAGGCGCUGAUCCCUAUCAGCGAGUACCAAAGUCACCAAAAAGAAGUCAGCCACCAGACUCAGACCCAGACAGGUGUAGGUCACCAAGUAUAGAUCAGGGUGUUGAAGUUGAAGAAAACAUAUCAGGAAAUACUUCACCACACGAAGAUGCCGAGACUGAACCAAGAAGGCGCAAGUUUAAUCUGAAAAAGCAGCUCAGCCGGGUCGAUCUAAAGCUGAAGUUCCAGCCGAGAAACAACAAAAGAUCGUGUUCAGUCUUUUACGCAGAAAAAGAUUCAGCCGAUGAGAGCCCCACUAGUCUGAGCCCGGACGACGAUAUGCCUACGAUCAAAGAGCCGGAGACGGAUGAAAAGCCGGCCGUGAGACCUUCCGAUCUUGCCUUGUUUGAAGAACGGCCCAUUCCGCCUCCGAGGAGGGAGAAAAAAGACAAGGAAAUGCCUAAACGAGACACAAGACUAUUAUCGGUCCCAAAUAUUAAGUAUCAUCCGAGGAUAAACCAAGGCAGAUCAGCAAUGAUACGCAAAAUAAAUAAAUUAGACAGUUCAUUUUCAAGAUCAAGAAGUUCUAGUAUGUCAAGCCUAGAGAAUAUAAGUUCAGAAGCUGUUCAGUGCAUUACAUUUGCGGAUUCAUAUACAAAAAAAUCAGACCCUUCGACAUUCCCUACUCUGUGGUUUGGCACAAGCCUUGGAUCAGUUUUGACUGUGAUGCUCAACGUACCUUCAUCUGAUAUUAGACUGACUCACCCUGUUGCUGUUGGGCCAUUCGGCACAAUGUUUCGCUUAAAAGGGUCCAUUUUAACCAUGUCUUUCCUUGAUUGCAAUGGUGCUUUAAUUCCUUACACAUUCGAAAGUUGGAAAGACGAAAGUAAAGAAAAACAAAGCCGAUCCUCUAGAGCAAAUAGCAAUAGCAGGAUGUCUCCUCCUGGCACUGCAAUCGGGGAAGUCAGCAGUUGUGAUAGACAGUUUGUGGUGAUCGUAAGUGAAAAACAGGCAAUCGUCGCUGCUCUUCCUUCCCAUAACAUCGUAUACAAGCAGCAAAUAACUGAAACUGAUUUUGUAGUGAAAGCUGAAAUUAUUUCUCUUAAAGAAAGCGUCUGUUUGGUUUGUUACAUUUCAAACGGCCAUAUCGUCGCUUACAGUUUACCGAGUCUUCGGACUUUGAUCGACACAGAUUUUCUCCCGUUGGCCGAUUUAAGAAACACAGAUGGGAGCAGACACUGGUUGGGAGCCUUUGGAGCCCAAUUUCAACUACUGGACAAAUAAGAUCGAGGUCUGACCCCAGACUGCCAAAACUUCUUGACGCCCACCAGAAAUUCAAUAAUCGCGAGAACAUUUUCUUUUAGCAAUCAUGGCAAUGGAUUAUAUCUAUGCUCGCCGACUGAAAUACAGAAGUUUUCAGUCUCCGCCG